AUGGUAGGGAUUCCCCGCGCGUUCUCAAUCCCUAGCGCCCAAUUUCCCGCCAAUAUAAGAUCCUUGCCUGCUCCGGCGAUCGCCGCAGCCCUGAACCCUCACAGGAUGCCGAGGAAAGCAGCUCGCGGCGCCACCGCCGCCACCGCCGCCAGCAAGAAAGCAGCGCCCGCCGCCGGCAAGAAAGCAGUGCCCGCCACGACCGCUGCCGCCAAGAAAGCCGCGCCCGCGGCCGGCAAGAAAGCAGUGCCCGCCACGACCGCUGCCGGCAAAAAAGCCGCGCCGGCGGCCGGCAAGAAAGGAGCAGCGCCGGCCGCAAGCAAGUACUGGCUGCUGAAGACGGAGCCGGGGGAGUGGUCGUGGUCGGACCAGGCGGGCGCGCCGGGCGGCGUCGGGCCGUGGGACGGCGUGCGCAACCACCAGGCCAUGAACAACCUCCGCGCGAUGCGCCGCGGCGACCGCUGCCUCUUCUACCACUCGGGCGCCGGCGCCGCGUCGCGCCGCGUGGUGGGCGUCGUCGAGGUCGCCAGGGAGUGGUACGAGGGCCAGGAGGGGGAGGCGACGGCCGGCGGCGCUGUGGACGUGCGCGCCGUCGGGGAGCUCCGGAGGCCCGUGUCGCUGGAGGAGAUCAAGAAGGCGGCGGCGGCGGGGGAGAUGGAGGGGAUGAAGGACUUCGCGCUCAUCCGGCAGGCCCGGCUGUCGGUCAUGCCCGUGCCGGUGGAGGUCUGGGAUUGGAUUUGUGAGAUGGGUGGUGGCUUCGUGCAGGACGGGGAGGUGGGAGAAGAAGAAGAAACAGAGGCUUGA
rnacentral:rRNA from 1 species